rnacentral:rRNA from 1 species
UCAGUUCAGACUGCAGGCUGCAACUCGCCUGCACGAAGUCGGAAUUGCUAGUAAUCGUAGGUCAGCAUACUACGGUGAAUACGUUCCCGGGCCUUGUACACACCGCCCGUCAAACCAUGAGAGUUGGCAACACCCGAAGUCGGUAGUCUAACCGCAAGGAGGACGCCGCCGAAGGUGGGGUCGAUGAUUAGGGUUAAGUCGUAACAAGGUACC